GGUUCGAAUCCUGCACGACCCACCAAUAUACAAGGUGGUAACUGGUAGAGAACGUGAAGGUUAACGUUGCUUUAGCAACGGCCCGAAGGGCGAGGCGAAGCCGAGUCAUCCUGCACGACCCACCA
rnacentral:sRNA from 2 species